rnacentral:lncRNA from 1 species
CUAUUGGAAAGAAGAAAAAGUCUGCGAAGAAGCAGAAGGUGGAGAGCAAGAAGAAGAAGGAGGCGGUUCCAAAGAAGAAAACUGUCGAGAAGGAAAAGUGUUUCCAUUGUAUCACUGACGAUCAUUGAAAAUGAAAUUAUCCUGCUUACCUGGUGACCCUGAAGAACAAAAAGGAAGAUAGACUUUCUGAAGAUAUGCUCGUCAUAGAAACAAACCUAACAGUUUCUUCUACAUCC